GGAAGUAUAGCUCACGGGUAGAGCGAUCGCUUCGCAUGCGAGAACUCUGGGUUUCGAUUUCCCACACCUCUA
rnacentral:tRNA from 1 species